rnacentral:misc_RNA from 1 species
CUGAAGCACACAGUGACGUCCUCCGAAGCCUCCUGGUGCCCGUUCCUGAAGCGACACGCGCGAUCGACGAUUGCUCAGGUACAAUCCUCCACGUGCAGGCCCUGCUUGCGUGUUUACACAGCUCGCAGGCUCAUUGGCCGGUGCUGCCCACGACAGGCACGGUGGCUGGGCCUCUCCCACGCGUCCCUAGUCCCGUCUCCGGCCGAGCCCACAUCGGUGGCCAGCGCCCGCGCAGGCGAGUCCGUGGCCAGGCUCCUGGCCGGCGCGGCAGCGCGGCCUGGAGCCGCUGAGCGCCUCGGCGUGCAGACCCCCACGCGCCCUCGUCCAGCCAUGCUCUUCCCUGCUCGGUCCGGCAUGGAGGUUGGCCGAGCAACCGCUGUGCUCGGGGCCGCGCUGUAG